rnacentral:tRNA from 1 species
CAGAGGGUAGUUUAAAUGCAAGAAUCUUAGCUUUGGGAGCUAAGGAUAGAAGUUUAAGUCUUCUCUCUCUGA